rnacentral:misc_RNA from 1 species
GGAAGUAAAAGUCUAACAAGGUCUCCGUUGGUGGACCAGCGGAGGGAUCAUUACUGGAAUCGCAAGAUCCCACAACCCCUGUGAACCUACCGAAACGUUGCCUCGGCGGGCGCCCGGCCCCGCGCCGGGCGCUGAGCCCGCCGGCGGCCCCCUACUCUUGUCUCUGCAGCGUGGCAUCUCAGAGUCCCAGAAAACAAGUAAAAACUUUCAACAACGGAUCUCUUGGCUCUA